rnacentral:rRNA from 1 species
UGGGGAAUAUUGCACAAUGGGCGCAAGCCUGAUGCAGCCAUGCCGCGUGUAUGAAGAAGGCCUUCGGGUUGUAAAGUACUUUCAGCGGGGAGGAAGGGAGUAAAGUUAAUACCUUUGCUCAUUGACGUUACCCGCAGAAGAAGCACCGGCUAACUCCGUGCCAGCAGCCGCGGUAAUACGGAGGGUGCAAGCGUUAAUCGGAAUUACUGGGCGUAAAGCGCACGCAGGCGGUUUGUUAAGUCAGAUGUGCAAUCCCCGGGCUCAACCUGGGAACUGCAUCUGAUACUGGCAAGCUUGAGUCUCGUAGAGGGGGGUAGAAUUCCAGGUGUAGCGGUGAAAUGCGUAGAGAUCUGGCGGAAUACCGGUGGCGAAGGCGGCCCCCUGGACGAAGACUGACGCUCAGGUGCGAAAGCGUGGGGAGCAAACAGG